CGACUCCAUGCUUUCUUGCCUUGAAGGAUGAGUACAAUGAGAACAAAGUGGUCGUGGCAGAUGGAACAACACGACCAUGUUUAAACGGGGUUACUCAUAACCUUACCAUGAAGCCCGAGCAGUGUAGAGUUAGUGUGGACUAUCCUUACCCCAAAUAUGCCCAUCUUGAUCUACCGGUGAAGUCUCCAGAUGGUGAAACUAAGUUGGGUAAAACGAAGGGCUACUUUGUUGAAUGGCCCAUCCAUUUAGUUAUUUUAAAAGAUGAGGUAUAAUGUUUUACUUUCUACAUUCAAAAGUUCAACUAUGAGUAUGUUAAAUGUUUUUUGUUUUACAUAAUAAGGAUUUAACAAAUAUUAACUUUAAAAAGACAUAGGACCGCCAAUAAAGAAGGCUAAAUUAGUAGAAGCCAAUGAGAAAGUUGGUAGUUGUGGCGUUAAAUCAGGGCAGUCAACUACCAAAGGCUUUCACCUACUUGACGAUAGCAUUGUUGACAGUUUGAGUGAGUGUUGUGAAAUGUUGUAUUGGUGCAUGAGCUCUGAUAUUGAUAAGUAUGAUACUACAAUGGUAUCAUUGAAGGCUCCCUAUUUCUAUCAAGAUAAGGGCAAAGAAAUAUAUGUUAUAGCUACGACGUAUCAGAACUUCUUAGAGGAGCGUGGGUUAAUGUUUCAUUGUUCCAUGUCUACAUUUUGUACCUAAUUCAUAUGCACAUUUCCAUUCUAAAUAUAACUGAGAUCACAUUCCUUUGUCCUCAAAGGAUUUCCUUAGCUGAAAUCGAGCAUGAUUAUCUCCAAGUUCAUGGGUAUGUUAAAAAGGCUUUUAUGUCCGAACUUGAAAAGGAGGGUAAGAAUAGCAAAUUCUUGUUGGCACCAUAUCUUCAAAGGUAUGUCCUACGACACAUGCUUAAUUAUUUACUAAUGUAUAUGUUUGUGAAUAACAAGUUAAUUAAACUCUUAUGGAAUGUAAUUUUUUAUAGUAAUCAUAGGGUGCUUUUGAUAAUAAACUUACAAUUGGGCCUUGUGUUCGACUUUGAUUUUGCCACUUGUCCUAAAAAGAAUCCAAGAAAAUUGAGAUUGGCUGAGAUACUAAUGAAGUAAGUGGAGAAAGUACAUCAUUUUCGCAUAAUAAAUCCAAAGGUUAUGUAGUAGGUAGAUUUUUAUGUUUAUUAUUGUUAUUUUUUUUACAGCGCAUACAAGCUUUAUCUGUGUAAAUUGAAGGGUAAUGUUCUGAAAAGUAGGAGGAAAAAUUUUCUAUUUAAGUAAAUGGAGUGUGCUCAACAGAAAGGAGGUACUGAGUGUGGAUAUUACGUCAUGAGAUACAUGUAUGAGGCUAUUAUUGGCCACAGUGAGUGGGAAGGUAAAUCAGAGGAGGUAUAUUCUGCAAGGAAAAUGGCUUACGAUGAAAAGGAAUUGAAUGAAAUACAAGAACAAUGGGCAAAUUUCUUUAGAAGGAAAUAUUUGUUAAAUGAACCUAUUUAGUUAUAUUUUCAUCUAUCAAAUGCAUAACUAAUUUGAUUGCAUAUGUAGUUAUGAUGAACUGAUUUGUUGAUUAGUAAAUGGAUUUAUUGUGUUUGAGAUUUAAAUUGUUGUGUUGAUGAAUUCAUUUAUUGGUGAAUGAUAAAUAUGUUAAGAGUAUUUUGAGUAAAAGUUUAUAUGCAUGUGGUUGUUUAAUAUCAACUUUAAGUUGGGAUGUUCGAAAAAUAGGGGAGAUAUUGUCCGUUUUCCUGCGGGAAAAUGAGAUAGAAUAUAUGUCUAUGUACUCAAACCUGCAGGAAAUACGACAUCUUCUCCGUAUAUAUAAUAUUUGGACUACAAAAAAAGAAAAAAAAAAAGAAAAAACAA